rnacentral:rRNA from 1 species
GUGGGGAAUAUUGCACAAUGGGCGAAAGCCUGAUGCAGCAACGCCGCGUGAGGGACGACGGCCUUCGGGUUGUAAACCUCUUUUAGUAGGGAAGAAGCGAAAGUGACGGUACCUGCAGAAAAAGCACCGGCUAACUACGUGCCAGCAGCCGCGGUAAUACGUAGGGUGCAAGCGUUAUCCGGAAUUAUUGGGCGUAAAGAGCUCGUAGGCGGUCUGUCGCGUCUGCUGCGAAAACUGGAGGCUCAACCUCCAGCCUGCAGUGGGUACGGGCAGACUAGAGUGCGGUAGGGGAGAUUGGAAUUCCUGGUGUAGCGGUGGAAUGCGCAGAUAUCAGGAGGAACACCGAUGGCGAAGGCAGAUCUCUGGGCCGUAACUGACGCUGAGGAGCGAAAGCGUGGGGAGCGAACAGGAUUAGAAACCCUAGUAGUCC